UGGGUAUACUUAGGAAAACACCAGAGAGUCACCCUGGGGACUCUGUAUCCAGGCUCAGGAAGCCUGGGAGGCUUUCUGGAGCAGGACUCUCUGUGAGCUGAGCAAAUGGCAGGAGUGACAGGACUGGGGUGCUGACCAGGAAUGCAGUAUUGAUAGACAGCAGUGGUGAAGCCGGCUUCUUCCUAAGGUCUCACUCCUGCCUCCCACUCCCAUUUCCCUGUGGCUUGCUCUUUCAACAGCUUGCCCACUACACCAAGGAAGGCUUUCUGCACCUGGGCACCCUGGGGACCACCACACUCCUUCCUGACACCCGCUGCCUGGUUGACAACUCUAAGAGCCUGCUGCCCCAGCUCCUGGACUGGGACAAGGUCAAGAGCACCCAGUACAAGUGCUGGAACUUCUUCCAGAAUGGAGCCAUCAUGAACAAGGGCAUGGGGCGCUGCCUGGAGGUGGAGAACUGGGGCCUGGCUGGCAUUGACCUCAUCCUUUGCAGCUGCACAGGUCAGAGGUGGACCAUUAAGAACUCCAUCAAGUAGAGAGAGGAAGCGGGGCACUGGAGCCUGGCCCCCAGGACCAGCCAACCUCUGGACCAGCCACCCUGGCAGAGAGACAGCAAGGGGUUGGCAGGUGCUCGGCAGGCUCCCCAGGGCUCUUCCAAGGCAGCACGGGGACCCCAGAUGGAUACUCUGUCCCCCUCAGGCAUUCAGCUGCCCACAGGGUUCCUGCACCCUGGAAAAGCCCUCGCCCCUUCUCUGGGAAACUGAGAGGUGUCUUCUGCAGCCUCUGAUGUGGACCUGGUACUGAGGAGUGAGACUGUCCAGUUCUCCACCGCAUCUGCCAUCCCCGAAUCAGGACCUGGGACCAGCAGAGUCCCCUCCUGCGUCUUGUCUCCUGCAGCAGCAGCUGCUCAGCUCCAGCCAUCAACAUGGUGGGAGGCAGGGGGGCUUUAGCCAUGUCCUAGCUCCUCACCCUAAAAGGAGGCAGCAAGGACUGGGCACUCAGCUUCCUCCGAGGUUGCUUCUGCCCAGAUGACACCUGCCUGUUCACACCCCAAGGCAGCCACUGCCCCCAACUCUUCCCACCAGUGUGGCUUUGGGCACUGCAGCUCUGGACUCUUCUGGCCCCUCCUGAGAUUACCUAGACGGAGCUGAUGCUUUCCCUCCUGGUCACCUGGGCACUAGGCUUAUAUCAACGUGCUUGAGCCAGCUCUCCUGCCUCUGUCUAGAGGAAGCCAGAGACAGAAACAGGCUAAGCCUGCAGCAUGGCCUAAGCCACGAGGGCCCUGCAGGAUGGAGCUGGGUCAAGAACCGGGAGCCCCAAGUCACAGAGGCUAUCCCCGGGAGCAGAAGGGACCCUUCAUCCAGAACCUAAGGGCUGCAGCGAAGGCUUCCAGGAACCUCGAAGAUGCUUUCAGCUCACCUCAUUUCACUCCAUGCUCUGCUGGCUGGCAGAGGAGAAGGCAAUCGUUUCCUCUCUGAAGAGUAAUAUUUUUUUUUUUGCCCUCUGGUUAGGGUGCACAUAUAAAUCAGAGUUAAUAUAUGAACACGUGUGCAUGCAUGAGCAUGUGUGUGCCUCUGUGCUGUGCGUGGCAGGGAGUGUGCAUGCAUGUCUGGCUGUGCAUUCUGGAGCAUGUGACGAUGCUGACUUAGCUGUGUGGCCCUUGGCUUGCUGCUUCAUUGCUCACCUGGAUGGGAAUGAGGGGGAUAAGAAGAAUGAGUGGGGUGUGGGUUUGGCCCAUAUCACUGGCCAGAAGCAUGCAGCUUAGCCCUGCCCUGUGGAGGCCCCCACAGAAGGCUGCCCCAUCUCCUAGUCCUCGUCUGUCUCCACAACGCUGUCGCUGGUCAAGCACCGCCCAGAGCUGAAUCCUGUAGCUUCCCCUUUGCCCUAUGUGGGAUUCACAGUCUCAUUUGGUGACAUCUUAUGGGUGAUCAUCUCCUCACCCCAUCUUCCACCUUGUAAAAUAAAUACAUGUUAGCACUUCCCA